UACGUAGGGUGCGAGCGUUGUCCGGAAUUAUUGGGCGUAAAGAGCUUGUAGGCGGUUUGUCGCGUCUGCUGUGAAAAUCCGGGGCUCAACCCCGGACUUGCAGUGGGUACGGGCAGACUAGAGUGUGGUAGGGGAGACUGGAAUUCCUGGUGUAGCGGUGAAAUGCGCAGAUAUCAGGAGGAACACCGAUGGCGAAGGCAGUGGCUGGGCCGGCACUGACGCUGAGGAGCGAAAGCGUGGGGAGCGAACAGG
rnacentral:rRNA from 1 species